AUUGAACGCUGGCGGCAGGCCUAACACAUGCAAGUCGAACGACUGGCGGACGGGUGAGGAAUGUCUGGGAUACUGCCUGAUGGAGGGGGAUAACUACUGGAAACGGUAUCUAAUACCGCAUACCAUCUGAUGUGCCCAGCUGGGAUUAGCUAGUAGGUGGGGUAAAGGCCCACCUAGGCGACGAUCCCUAGCUGGUCGGAGAGGAUGACCAGCCACACUGGAACGGAGACAGGGCCCAGACUCCUACGGGAGGCAGCAGUGGGGAAUAUUGCAAAAGGGGCGCAGGCCUGCUGCAGACAUGCCGCGUGGAUGAAGAAGGCCUUCGGGUUGUAAAGUACUUUCAGCGGGGAGGCGUUACCCGAAGAAGAAGCACCGGCUAACUCCGUGCCAGCAGCCGCGGUAAUUC
rnacentral:rRNA from 1 species